rnacentral:rRNA from 1 species
AUGGCUGCUCUAUCAUGCUCCAUCCCCAUUCCCUUCUUCAUACUCAUACUACUACUCUCCGUCCUCUCAUCAUCUUCUUCUUCUUCUAGCCUGACCAACAGUAAUGGCAGCGACACGGACCUCGCGGCACUGCUAGCUUUCAAAGCCCAGCUUGCCGACCCUCUCCGUCUCCUUGCCAGCAACUGGAGCACCGGCACGUCCUUUUGCAAUUGGUUCGGUGUCUCAUGUAGCCGAAGCAGGCAACGAGUCACCGCUCUGUCGUUGCCGGAGACGCCUCUGGUUGGAUCCGUGGCACCUCACAUCGGUAAUCUUUCUUUUCUCUCCUACCUCGAUCUGACCAACACCAAUCUCACGGGUUCCAUUCCAGCCGAACUUGGUAGGCUACGUCGUCUUAGGUAUCUAAGUUUUUAUGAAAAUAGCUUGUCAAACACCAUACCUAGUACCCUGGGGAACCUCACGAGGCUCAUGUUUCUUCAUCUAGCUUAUAACCAACUCUCAGGCCAUAUCCCUUUUGAGAUGCUACUGCAUAUGUCCAACCUUAGGAAAAUUAAUAUGUAUGCAAAUGACUUGAGUGGCCAAAUACCAUCAUAUUUUUUCAACAACACGCCUUCCUUGACAUACAUCAAUUUUGGAAAUAAUAGCUUGUCAGGUCCUAUUCCACACGCCGUUGCACACCUAUCCAUGCUUGAGAAAUUCAUCCUCGAGGUUAAUCAACUCUCUGGUCUAGUACCACAAGCCAUGUAUAACAUGUCCAGGUUGCACACUAUGGCACUUGCAAGUAAUGGUAACCUAACCGGGACGUUUCCGACCAAUCAAAGUUUCAACCUCCCAAUGUUGCGAUUUAUAUCAUUAUCUAGUAACAAGUUUUUCGGCCAGUUUCCAGCAGAGCUUGCAUCAUGCCAGUACCUGGAGAUCAUUGAUUUGGGUGAAAAUUCUUUUGAGGGCACUGUGCCAACAGGGUUGUCCAAAUUAUCACACCUCCAGGUUCUUCACUUAGGUUAUAAUAACAUUGUUGGUCCUAUCCCAACCGCUCUUAGCAAUCUUACCAAUCUUUCAUAUCUAGAUCUCAGCGGCGGAAAUUUGGAAGGGGAGAUUCCACAAGAAUUAGGUCUCAUGCAGGAACUCUCAUUUCUGUCUCUUGGAUCCAAUCAAUUGAUAGGAGAGAUUCCAGCUUCCCUUGGCAACUUAUCAAAAUUGUCUGUUCUAAUUUUGGCAAAUAGUAAACUUUCUGGUCAAGUACCAAUAACACUUGGGGAAAAUGCAGCUUUGAACAAGCUUCUUUUGUCAAGUAACAAUUUGGAGGGGAAUCUAGACUUCUUGUCAGCUCUUUCCCAGUGCAGACAACUCCAAGUCCUUACAAUAGAAGAUAAUUCUUUCACUGGCGUUAUCCCAAGUCUUGUGGGAAACCUUAGUUCAAAACUAGUCACUUUCAUUGCCAGCAAAAACCAGUUAAUAGGUGGACUUCCAGUUGCAAUUGCAAACAUAAGAAGCCUUGUACGGAUAGAUCUUAGUGACAACCUACUCACCGAGCCAGUCCCAGGGUCCAUCGCUAUGUUAGAAAAUCUUGUGUGGCUCGAUCUCUCCAACAAUGACAUGUCGGGUCCUAUCCCGAUACAAAUUGGUAUGCUCGGGCGUCUAGAACAGUUGUUUCUCCAAGCAAACAAAUUCUCAGGCUCUAUACCAAGAAGCUUUGGGAAUAUUAGUUCUUUAGAACACAUUGACCUAUCCAAUAACCAAUUAAGUUCAAUGAUACAUCCGAGCAUUUUCCACCUAGAUAAACUUCUGACACUAGAUCUUUCAAAUAUUCCUUUUCUGGAGCGCUACCAUCUGAUGUUUCCAGUCUAA